CUUUCACAUGAGACCUUGGAAUAAGAUUUAUACUUGAUUUCCCUAACUAACUGUAGGGGAACUGCUAGGUCAUGGUUUGAACUGAUGAUCAAGCACCUGGUGAAAGGGUGUGGCUGGCCUACAGAGCACAGGCAAAUUGUUUUCACCUGUGCUCCCCUGAUGACCAGAAGGGGUGGAGUCAGGGGAGAGCCACCCAGGACUCAUAUAAGGGCCAGCCACUAAUGAGAGAGCAUCUCUUGGACCUAGGUCCCUUCCUGCAUUAGGGGUAUUGCAUAGCCAGAGAGCUCCUUCACCAGCUGGGUGAUAGUGAUCUUUCAUAUGUGUAGUCACUGCGCGUUAGACUCAUCUGGAAAAAGGGAGGAGAUCCUGGAAUGUUGCAAAACUUCUUGUUUUCUGGGUUGUGUUUUAAAAUGGUAGUGCUAUGCAUUCACUGUACGAAGAUAAUGCCUCUGAGGCAAAUGGGAUGUUGAAAUUAAAUCAUAUCACUUGAGAUAGUU